AUGAAGGCUUCGAUGAAAAUGUUGGUCAGCAGCCGGUUGCCUCAACAGAUGAUGAAAAUGAUGGUCAACAGCCGGUUGCAUCAGAUGAGGAUUUUGACGAGGUUCCAAAUGAUGAUGGUCAACAGCCGCAUGAUUUUGACGAUGAUCCAAAAUAUCCUCCAAAUAAUGAUUCAAGUGAGGCUCCAAAUGGUGAUCCAAGUGAGGCUCUAA
rnacentral:rRNA from 1 species